CUAAGCUGUUUGGGCAGGUGUGUGUUGGCAUUUAGAGAAGCGGAGGUGUCUAUUUGAGGUGCAUUGCAUUUUCCUGGAAUUCCUGGCUUUAUUGAGGAUAGAACCUUGUUUUCUUCACCAGUUUUGCUGUAUGCUGUAGAAGUUGUGGAUAUCAUCUCUCUUAACAGGACUGAUGUCUCCCCACAGCUGACGGGAGGUACAACAAGGUCACAGGAGAUGCGGCGUAAACCAUCCGGGCCUCUGCAUCUCAAUAUGCAGGGCUGAAUGUCAGAUGCAGCGGGAUGAGCUGUGUGCCAAAGGGCAACAGAGGAGACAUGAGCAGAGCGCUGUAAGAAGGUGGUACCCGAGCCUCAACUUGGCAGCCUGUAAACAGCAGAGGCAGGGCGGGCGAGCAGCCAGGAUGCUGCAAGAGGCUCAGAGGGGCGAAGCCGCAUGCUGAUGAGCGGUCCGAGAAGGCGCCAUGCAGGCAGCCUUUGGAAUUGGAUGAGCAUUUGAGGUGCCACAAGGGAUGACGGCCACAGCGUCCGACACUGGAAUUCCUGCAGAGCAGAUGAUGAAGAGGAACCUGGCAACUGCAGGAAUAUCCUGGUUUGCUGAUGUGGUUUUUGCUGAGGAUGGAUUCAGACCCCUGGCCCU